rnacentral:rRNA from 1 species
AGUGAACGCUGGCGGUAGGCCUAACACAUGCAAGUCGAACGGCAGCACAGUAAGAGCUUGCUCUUACGGGUGGCGAGUGGCGGACGGGUGAGGAAUACAUCGGAAUCUACUUUUUCGUGGGGGAUAACGUAGGGAAACUUACGCUAAUACCGCAUACGACCUACGGGUGAAAGCAGGGGAUCUUCGGACCUUGCGCGAUUGAAUGAGCCGAUGUCGGACUAGCUAGUUGGCGGGGUAAAGGCCCACCAAGGCGACGAUCCGUAGCUGGUCUGAGAGGAUGAUCAGCCCCACUGGAACUGAGACACGGUCCAGACUCCUACGGGAGGCAGCAGUGGGGAAUAUUGGACAAUGGGCGCAAGCCUGAUCCAGCCAUACCGCGUGGGUGAAGAAGGCCUUCGGGUUGUAAAGCCCUUUUGUUGGGAAAGAAAAGCAGCAGGUUAAUACCCCGCUGUUCUGACGGUACCCAAAGAAUAAGCACCGGCUAACUUCGUG